UUGCACUUGGAAGCACAUAUACUAAGAUUGGAAUGACAGAUAAGACUAGCAGGGCUUCUUCAUGAAGAUGACACCUAAAUUAAUGAAGAAUUCCAUAUAUAU